rnacentral:rRNA from 1 species
UACGGGGGGGGCAAGCGUUGUUCGGAAUUACUGGGCGUAAAGGGCUCGUAGGCGGCCAACUAAGUCAGACGUGAAAUCCCUCGGCUUAACCGGGGAACUGCGUCUGAUACUGGAUGGCUUGAGUUUGGGAGAGGGAUGCGGAAUUCCAGGUGUAGCGGUGAAAUGCGUAGAUAUCUGGAGGAACACCGGGUGGCGAAGGCGGCAUCCUGGACCAACACUGACGCUGAGGAGCGAAAGCCAGGGGAGCAAACAGG